CUCGCGGUGCCGGCGGGGCGCUCGCUCUGCCUCCGCCGCCUGGUGCAGGACGGGCUCCGCAGCGCGGCCCCCGCCCUCUGGGCAUGGAAGGAAGGCAGCGAGAGGCUCCGCCGGGCCUCAGAAGCACGGACCCCUGCCUGGCGAAUUUACACCAAUUGACAUCAGACAUUUGCUUUUACUUCUAAUCUGUGGAGUGCCAUAAGCAGCCCUCACCCCUCCAGGAUUUCCCAGACCGUGGGACAGAGCAGCUGAGAGCCAGACCAGAAGGAUCAAGCAAAUUGCUUUCUCUGCAACUGGGCUUUUUGCAAGUUAGAGUUCAAGGUGUGCAGAGGAAACCUUGCUGAGCAAGAUGUAUUAACUACA